CGAUCUAGUUCGUCAAUACAACCUCGCAUUGGGUCAAAUGCUGUCUGACGUGUUUCAUACCGAUUGUUAAGCCGUUCUUGGCACACUGAUUUUGACUGCGGAUAACUCCGUUUACCUGAUCAGGAUAUGGGGCUCACGGCGGGUGUGACCGGUCAACAGGGGAUGCUUACUCCUCCUAGGCACCUGAUCCCACCUCUGGUGUGUCCAGGGGUCCGUGUUUGCCCAACUAUCUAAUUUGUAUUGCUUGUAGGAGUUAUGAGAUUGAUCACUGUUCGUUAUCUUCACCUUGCAUGUAUGACUUAAUUCAUGAGUGUUACAUUAGAAGAUUGGAUAAAAGUUUUCUUUUAAUAGUACAAGUUCCCCGGGACAGGAUAUGAACGUAAAACCCAACCAGUUUUAUAAUUACAUUGAAACAAAGGUCAGGCAAGUUGCUAAAUCUGGGGAGUCACAGCGAUUAAAACACCAAACUGUGGAAUGAGCCGUCAAAUUCAAUUACUCACAGGUGGUUGAUAAAAUCAAUAUGCAGAGCAAGUGAGAAGUGAUAGUUUAAAAUGUUGGAUUAUUCAACUGUUUAACAGUAAUACAUGCAGCUGCUUCUUAAAAGAGAUCUUGGAAAACUUAUAUGCAUUGGAGGCGAUAAUGUUCAAACAUGUGUUCGAAGAUUACUGCCCUUUUUGAUGGCGACAACCUUAGUGCUCAAUGGAAUUGGAGUGGGAAAGGAACAAACAGAGGGCUGUCAAAUCUAGAAUUAAGAGACAUAAUAACAGAGGCUGUCAAGAUAAAAACAAAUCCGUAGUAUUGUAACUGACAAUGAAAUCGCCAAAGAUCGAGAUGAGGGAGGCGACAAAGGGAGGAAAAAGAACGAGCGGAACAGGCAACAGAGUGACAGUGAGGAAGUGAGCCAGAAUUGAAAACUUUUAAAUCAUUAUUUUUCAGAAAUGUCUACCAUCAUCUAUUUCAAACCUAUGUUGUAACUUCUGACAAUUUAAUUCAUAUAAAAAAUAAUUUUACAGCGAA